rnacentral:rRNA from 1 species
ACAUCCUUCUGAAAGGCCCGUAACGGGGCCCGGCCUUCGGGACAGAAGAGACAGGUGGUGCAUGGUUGUCGUCAGCUCGUGUCGUGAGAUGUUGGGUUAAGUCCCGCAACGAGCGCAACCCCUAUCCCCAGUAGCCAGCAGUAAGAUGGGCACUCUGUGGAGACUGCCAGGGAGAACCUGGAGGAAGGCGGGGAUGACGUCAAAUCAUCAUGCCCCUUAUGAUUUGGGCUACACACGUGCUACAAUGGCGUAAACAGAGGGAGGCGAAGGAGCGAUCCGGAGCAAACCCCAGAAAUAACGUCCCAGUUCGGAUUGCAGGCUGCAACCCGCCUGCAUGAAGCUGGAAUCGCUAGUAAUCGCGGAUCAGAAUGCCGCGGUGAAUACGUUCCCGGGUCUUGUACACACCGCCCGUCACACCAUGGGAGUCGGUAACGCCCGAAGUCAGUGACCCAACCGAGAGGAGGGAGCUGCCGAAGGCGGGACUGGUAACUGGGGUGA